GAAAUGCGAUAAGUAGUGUGAAUUGCAGAUUUCAGUGAAUCAUCGAAUCUUUGAACGCACAUUGCGCCCUUCGGUAGCCCGAAGGGCAUGCCUGUCUGAACGUCACCGGAACAGUGCGACCUACUCCCCGCCACCAGCAGCUAAGUAGGUCUAAAAUUGAGAGAAGUGGUUUUGAAAAACCUCUCUUUUAUAAGUUAUUGGCGGUGCCAUUUUACAGCUUGUAAGACGUGAUAGGAAAGCAAUUCUCGUCGAAGCAACUGUUUGGUGUCCUGCCAAUUGAAAGAUUUCGUAUAACACUUGACUUCAGAACAGGUAGGGAGACCCCCUGAACUUAA
rnacentral:misc_RNA from 1 species